GUCCUGGUAUCUAUGAUGAGUUUAUUUACAACCACUUGGUCAAUACCACUGCUGGUGGAGAUUAAUUUCCCCGUGGGUAUCACCAGCCCAGUAGUCAGAACUUUUGUUCUGACAUGAAUUAUCAUUGAUAUGGUUAUAUUUAUCAAUUAACUGUUAACAAAAUUUUGAAUAUUUGAAAUACUAAGGCCUUUCUACCUCAGG
rnacentral:lncRNA from 1 species